UUGACUGACGACGUAACGUAAGUGAUGAUAACGAGGGAGACCAAGCAGCGGUGCUGCCAGAGAGAGCAGAUGAAUCCCUUUUCUUGAACAAUUUGGCUUUCUUUUAUUUAAAGUUGCAGGCAAAACUUUUACUGCCAGCAUCAGUCAUACAGUCUAUUAUUGAGGAUUUUCAAGCAGUGCAUGAUAUCAGUCAGUCUCAUUUACUUCAUAAGUUGGACGAAAAGCUGGUAUCAUUGGAUAUCUCUGACCGUGAGAGAGAGAGGUUCUUAAAUCCGAGGAUUUGUUUCGGGCAUGCAACACUGGUACCUUGAAAACUGAUCAAAGACAAAAAACGGUUUUUAAAAAUCAGUUUAGAUACAUUGAGCCAGUCCCACCUUAUCUUGGAAAGAAUGAUAUGGGAUCACAGAGUGGCUUUAGUGAAAACUUCAGUAAAGGCACCCAUUUCUGCAGAUUAUGUACUAGAGCCCGACCGAUAUAUCUAUAAUAUAUUAAUAUAUAUUAUAUAAUAAACAAAAAAAAAACGAUGAUUAUUUAUCUGUACUUGUCUGCUUGAACGUUGUAAUUGCUAUUUACUACAAUUAUCCAGUAGAGGGAGCUCUAAUACAAGUGUGAACUGCAGCAGCUGACGCGCUACUUCUCUAAUAAGACGUUUGUUACUCGUGCCUCAUCCAAUAUUCUCCACUGCAAGACUUGUCUGCACAGAUUCGGUUGCGGCAAUAAAGGUAUGUAGAUUUAGUGAAAGUUUUUAAUUAAAUGCGUUUAUACGACCACUAUGUUUAUCAAUCCUCAUUAUCAAACGAGCGAGCUAGCUAACAUAUUUGGUUCACUUUAGCAAGCUAGCAAGCCUUUAUGAACUGGAAGUGAGCACAUAAGCAGCGUAGGAUCUACAUUUCCAGAGGACAUCGCUGUAUUCUCAAAUAAAUAACCAGCCAAAAUAAAAUGGUGAUUGAAUGUGUCACACAUUUGUUUUUGUUUUUUUGUUGUUUUUUAUCUGAGAUAAUGAUAUUAGCUACUAUAUGAUGUUUUGUAAAUAGCCAAGGCGUGAUUGCAAGCGAGUGUCAUCUUGUCACGCGUCAUCGUAGCAAGCUAACCAGACAGUAAAAAAGCAGAUAAAACACUUCGAACAUGAAUCAUUUUAAGCCAUGUUAUCUAGCUUUGUCGUGAUAACAUGAGAGAAGGAUUGCUGUUGGAGAACUGAAUCAACCAAUAGUUAGCGCGGGUAACCUGCACGAAAGCUCAUACAUAUAAGAAAAUACAAUAAGAAAAUAUAAUUAAUUUAACUUACUGAGAAAAUAUAAUAAGAAAUAACGAGGCUGUGUCAUAGCUAAUGCGUUAUUGCGAGCGAGUGUGUCAUCUAGUCACGCGUCAGAGCGCAUUGUAGUUAUUUUCACCGUCUAAUUCUUAUGGACAGGGAAGCUCGUUUGAUAGUCUUAGUAGGAAUAAAAUAAGAAAAUAUAAUUAAUGUACUGAGAAUAGAUACUAAGAAAUAAUAAUAACAAAUUAAUAAUAACAACAAUAAUAAUAAUAAUAAUCAUAAAAAUACAUGUUUGAAACUGGAAAAGGGAUUUUUUACAUUAAUUUUUUUAUAGAUGUUGGAAAAGAAAGGAGUAAAAGCAAGGUGUGGAGUUAUUUUGAUUUCACACACUUAAAUAUAGUGUUAAUAUGUAUAUUUAAUUUAAUAUCAUCUUUUACUUUUUUAUCUAAAAAGUUUUGUGUGUUUAUUUUAAUUUUUUUUUGUUUGCUUAUAAGUUAAAUGUUCUUAAAUAUAGAAACUUUAAUAAAAUAUAAGUUUUUCAAAUUGGUUUGAAAAUGUUGCACUUUUUGACAAAAUAUCGGUCAAAACAUCGGUAAUCGGUGGGCUAGGACUCCCCAAAAUCGGGAUUGGCACCGGACCCAAAAAUCUGGCAUCGGUCGGGCUCUAUUAUGUACUGUUGGCCAUGCUCAAUUUUUGUCAUCUCCCUUCACAACAGGUGAAAAGAAAACAAUUGCAUCAUACAAAGACAGCGUGCAGCACAGCAUGCAGCAUAACAUCGCACACUUCAAUCUCUUUCCUUGGGAUCUUGGCAGACUCAUCCCCACCAGAGAUGAGUCCAAUGAGAGUGGUGUCGUCUGCAAACUUCAGGAGCUUGACUGACUGAUGACUGGAGGUGCAGCUAUUGGUAUACAGGGAGAAGAGUAGAGGAGAAAGGACGCAGCCU